rnacentral:lncRNA from 1 species
CACAUAUAUACAUACAUAUAUAUGCACACACACCCGUCUGGUAAAUGUGUUUUGAGUGUCUGUGUGUGUGUUUUUCUUUGUAGUCUUGUUUAGGGCUGUUUUGAAGCCUAGCACUGUUGUUGUUUCCAAGACUUGUGUUGGUAGACUGUCCCAUUGGUCUACCACCAUCAUUUACCUUGUAGACUUCCAUAGGUCGACCAUCACCCCAGCUGGUAGACGGUUCCAUGGAUCUACAAAAACUGUUGUUCCUCAUAUUAAAGACCUGUAGUGGUGAUGCCCUGUUACCAGGUCAGACUAUGACAUAUUGACCCUUUUGAGUGUGAUGACUCCAGUUAAUGCCAUGUAGCCAAGUGAGGCCAUAAUACACAAAGAUUAACAAAAACUUAGAAGUACUUCAUGUUGUUCCCUGAGAUGUGUACUCUAUCAUAUUAAUACUGAUGGCAUGUACUACAGCACUGUUAUGAUGGUGCACAAGUGAUAGUGAGAAGAGAAAUGACAAUGAAGCAAAAUACAGACCGAGGAGAGACACUAUGACAGCGAUGUGAAGAAAAGACAGAGAAGAUAAAGUAAAUUGACACAUUAACUGAAGAGUCUGAGGCCAUUAUAUACAAGACUUAAGGCUGAAGGAAGGAAGAAUGACUAAGGGAAAAAGGUUAGUGCUGUGGGUUUUUUUCUCUGUUGAAGGGUCUAGUAAGAGGUGGAGGCUCGGUGCCAUUUUGUAUCCAUUUUGAUAAGGGUCUCUAGUGUUGUACCAUAGCUUAAGUGAGGCAGUUAUUUAUUUAGUCAUUAUUAGAUCAUCAGUUUGGGGGAUAAGAGUAAGUCAGGUAGGUUUCAGUAUGUCUAUUGAAACUGUUUGAUAGCAGUUGUGGCAUAAAAUGGUGAAGUGUUUGGGGGUGUCGUGGAUAAUGAUUAAUUUUAUUUUUUGCCACUUACAGCGGUCAGGAUAUGGUAACUUUGUAGGGGUGGUGGAGUGGGGGAUGGAUGGUGUCCUGGUGGAGGAAAUCAUACUCUGCAGUCUGGAGAUCAGGCUGGACAUAGACGUGGGGACAUUCUUGGUCAUGAGGUUUAGGCUGUGCUCACUAACUUCUUUGGCACCUCAUGCAUCCUAACAACAGCUUACCAUCCUCAAGCCAAUGAGAUUUUUAGGGGAGGACUGAAUUGAUGGCAGACGUAUAUAUUGGGCAAUCUCCACAUGGUCGUCAAGCCCUGCCCAUCUUGUCAAGAAAAACAGACAUAUCUGAGGUACUGUGUAUACUUGUGUAGGUUUCCAGACAUCUACAGUUAUUGGUGUGGUUGUUAUAUACAAUGGUGCCAAUCAAGUCUCCUUUCCAAAUCUCUGGUCCUUCAUCAUGAACCUCCUUCAAUAUCACGGUGUCAGGUCACAGGGUCUCUAUAGGGCCUGAAAUAUUUGUCUUGUUUUCUGUGGGUUGGUUCAUUACCAGCCAUCUUGAUCAUGGCCACUUGAAGGUUUUUAAUAUUUGUACUAUAAGUUUUCCUCUAUAAGCCCCCGAGUGCAUGUCCGUUUUAUCCUCGAUGCUUCACACGGCCGCCGCCAGAUGUCUGUCACCUUAAUCACUUGUUGCUGUUAAUCUCUUUACCAGACACGCACUUGCUUUACUACUGUUAGUUGCUGUGGGUGUAAAUAAUAAUUAUUAAUAUUUAUUCAUUUGCAGUGAAUUAUUUGAUUCAUCAGACUGUUUGGUGAUAUGAUGUAAAGACCAAUGUAUUAGAUGAUUCUUAUAUCUUAUAAUUGUUCUUUUGAAUAGACUUAUACAGGAAUUGUAAUGUUAUAUUUUAUUUAAAGUGUUGCUUAGUUAUAUAGUUUUAUUAUUGAAACCCAUGACACUGUCUUUAGUUCAAAGGUGACCACUGAGGCUGCCUGUGUCACUAACUCACUAAUACAGUAUACUACAGUCCUAGUUAGUUGGUCACUCUGUCAAGUCUUCUCAGUGGCCGUGGUUACAACGCCUGUUAAGCUGUCACUCAAGUGUUAUGUUUUUAGAACAACAAUUUAAGUUUGAAAAUAUAGAAAAAUAUUGAUAUAUUUGAACAUUAUUGUGGUACAAAACUAAUAAAAGUGUUAGAUUUAUUGUCUUGAAAAUUUAACACCAUCAAUCAAGUUUCAUAUUUUACAACAAUAAUUUAAGUUGGAAAAUAUUAAAAACUAAAUAAAAUAUUUGUACAAUAUUUUAGUACAAAUUUAACAAAAGUCUUGGAUGUGAUCACUUGAAAAUGUGACAAAGGUUGACAAUAACUCUCACUAACACACAUCAGUGCUGAUAGAGUAUUCAUCCUCACGACUCUACUUUAUUAUCUAACGCAUAUAUUUUAAUACCUGCCGCACCAUACAUGUUUAUUAUAAGAAAUAUUUUUUUUCUCGUCCCUGAGGUGGUCGUAACGUGUGACAUAUUUUAAAGUGAGCCAAGAGUUGAGGCCAUACUUGUCAAACACUAGUCAAGGGAGAUGUUUGUUUGUGAGAGAUGAAUUACAGUGAAGCCUCCAUAUAACAUUAUUAUCUCUGUAUAAUCCAUUAGAUGGGGGUUUAAUGUCUAAUGACCUUCGAUAUAACAGACUUUGAUCUCUGUAUACUUAGUUAGAUGGAGGUUUUACUGUAGUUGGUUUAUCUUGAGUCUGUCUGUCUGUCUUAGGUUAUUCACAAAACUUAUACUUUAUAUAUUUUUUAAUGUAAUUUCUUGUUGAGUUACAACAGGUGAUGCCAUAUUAUUAAGGAAUGACCUUAAAUACUGUAUAAUGAAGAAAAAGUUGACUGGUGAAAGAGCCUUAACCGGCAUCUCUUUCACCGACACACACACACACACAGUUUUGUCUCUUGUGAUUCUUGAGUGUUGACGACUAGUGUAAUUACUAAGCUUCUUAUGCGCUUCAAGUCCUCAGCAUUACAGAAGUUGAAGCGAAGUAAUAACAUUAUAGCAUCAGCAUGUCAUGGUGUGUUUUUUUAAAGCAUUUGAUCCACUCUUACUAACACCCGAGGGACAGGUCUGUAUCACCUUUCUUAGGUAAAGUAAAAAAGUGUCCCAGGUCACAUGAUAUAUUUUCUUCAACAUGUUUAUGGAAUAAAAGAGAGAAAUUUCUUGA